GCUGAGAAUGAUUUAGGUAAGGCAGUUCUGGUGGUCUGUCUCACUUUCAUGAAAGCGUUCAUUAGUCUUGAGAGAGGCUUUCUUCUCCUGUCCUCCUUCAGGUGAGACAUCUGUUAUUUAAAAAGAGCAGCGUUUGAAGAGCAACGAGAGGGGAGGAAUUGUUAUUCCAUAUUGUUGAGCCACUGACAGAGAGAGCACAGUGUUUUAAAGUACAAGCGCUGAAUGGUAAUGACAGAGGGAGAUACUGAAGGCAUUUGAUGUGACACGUUCACCAGAGAGAUUCAACAAAGGCAGUCAACUGCAUUGACGAACCAUAUAACAGUUUUUUUUACAGAGGCGGAAUGCAGAGUUAGGACUAUGACGGACGCCUGUGGGCAUUCAAUCACAGAAGAUGAGGUUUCCCAGCACAGCAAGCUCAGCAAGGCCCAUGUCAGUCACAUGGCUAAUGACCGUUUCAGUGACGGCUUCCUAUCAACGUAAUAAGAAGCACCUGUUAGCGGUGGAGCCCAAACUUGGAAAUGGGUGUAAUCAACCCCGGGGGACUGAUUGAAUCCUUCCUUCUGACGGUGGAGACGCGCUUCAGCGCAGGGCCACUGGAAAAGGAUCUUCCCGGAUUACUCGAGGACGGACACGCCGGAUGAGCCUUAUUGCAUGCCGACUGUAAACGUGACGCAAGGGAAGCCUGCGGAAGUCUCCGUGGAUGGCUCCUGGUCGAUUAAGGCCAUUGUGUGAUUUCAUGUCUUCCUAAGCACAAUGAGCAAUGAGAUUAGGUUCAAUUUGGACCUGCACUUGGAUUUCCCCACCUCCGUCAAGGCCCGAGCCCCCGCCAUGUCAGCCUGGGCCCACUGGGAAAUCAGUGAUCUCCAGACAGGUCACCGCUGGCCCAUGUAUAUAUUCAUGGGCUUAAUCUCGCAUCAUUUCUAUGGCAUGAGGAAAAGAAAUGCAUUCAAUUUACACUCUCUCCAUUCGCCUCAUACAGUACACACAGGGGAGGCAUCCAUAUGUGUGUCUAACAUGCUAAGGAUUCAUUCGGUUAGCUCAAAACGUUUUGCAAGGCAGAAUCCAAUUCGUGAAAUUCAGCCUGUAUGCUUUAACUCAGAGCGGAGCCUCAGUGGGAGACUGCUGGUUGGAGUGGAAGGCUUCAAGUUGUCUCCGGCAGAUGCUGAGUGUGUAUUAAACAGAUUAAUUAUUAAAACAUGCUUGACAGAUGAAAAGUGGGACCUCGGGCUAAAGAGAGAAUGUUUAUUCUUCUGCCAUAUACUGUAGUCAUUUGGCUCCCGUUCACAAGUUAUUGGGCACCUUGUUGAGGAUUUGAGGGCUCGGUGUCAUAUGUGCGACGCACAAACUGUUUGGGGUUGUCCAGACCGGCACAGCUCUGAUGGAAAGUAUGAGGCCCUUUAUGGACCUGAUUUACUGAUUCAAAGUGUCUGUCUGUGGGUAUUGCUUCUUGUGGUGGUGACGGGAUACUACAGCAAUAUAUAGAUUGUUUAAAUUAUUUCCACUAUAAAUCUGUUAAUGAUUUACAUUUAUGCAUUUAGUAGAUGCUUUUAUGUGACAUACUUUGCAUUUUACAUUGCACAUGCAUUUUACCUCUUAUAUUUACUUAUAUGCAUUUUUUUUUAAUCUAGCCAAAAUAUCUAUAAGAAGAUAUUGUAAAGAAUGAUGAAGAGCAAAUUUAUGUCCAUGGAUGGAUAGAUAGAGACAUUUUUCAUUUAAUAACAUCUUUUGUGUUCCAGAGCUGAAAAAGGUAUACAGAUUUCGAGUAAAAGAUGAGAAAAUGUUCUCUCUUUGAUGAACUCCCUUUAAGAUGGAAGAGUGUAGUUUUGGAAUGAAAUAUGUUUUUGUUGCUGCUGAUCUGCCACACUACUGCAGGAAAAUAAGCGGGAACCGGAGGGAAAACAACCUCUUUUGUUGGUCUUCAUGAUAAAUUUUGCAUGCAUAUUAACCAGCAGGGAUGGCUGCCAACGUGCUAAACAGUGGUGAUUGCGAUUUCUGUUUUAUAGAGAAAAAGGGGAGAUGUGUUGCAAGUGGCUCUCUCUGUUGUGUUUCAAGGCCAAACCGAGCUGCAUCUGGCAGCGGGUCUGAAUGCCACCUGCUCCAACAAGUCCCUGAGCCUUUCCUCCAAAACAUGUGACCAUGCAAAUUGGGAACAAAUUAUUCUGUCCGAGAACGGAGCAUUUGCUGCAGCAAAAAACGAUCAAGAAAGGGCCCUUCUCCCAUUAGACAGCGAAGACAUGCGGUGGCAGCCACCGGUUACCUGGCCUCCCUGUUGACAGGGCUGUUGCUGAUAGCCCCCAGCCCCCCUGGACCCUAGGGAAUGGGCCUCAGAUGCAGAUGAUCACUAUUAGGAGCCGGACAGGCCUCCCCUCAGAGCGAUUAGCAUUCCCCUGGCGUGACCUACAGGUGUAGCCCAGAUUAAGUGAAUAAAUUCAUCGCCCUGAGGAUCACUGGGCCUGACCCCUGCUGCUGGCGCCUGAAUUAGAAUGUGUUUGGAGCUCGCGGGCACGGAGAUGAUUGCAAGCUAAACAUGGACGGCGACAAAAAGAGGGGGAAGGAAUGAUGUCGAUGGCGAAGGUUUAUUUGCAAAACAAACUAACUGUUCUAUUAGAUUUCUCACCCAUCCAAGUAAGAAUUGACUACAUCUUUUAUUUUGCCAGUGUGUUUGAGUCUGCAUAGGGAAGGGGGGGGGUUCGAGUAAUUCAGGCUCAUGUUUUGUUUCCUGUAAUUUAAUCUGAAACUAGCUUGUUUUUCUUUUCCCAUCGGACUUGCCUGUUCUGUUGACAUUUUUCCUGUUAUUUGUAUACUGCAAAGUGGUCCAUUUUUCCCCCAUCAAAACCGCUUUUCUCAGUAUGUGUCAGGAUGUCUUUUGAAUUUACCUUCAGCUCCUGACAGACUUUAGAACGGGGCGCGUGUACACAGACGAGGGGAAGAUUCCUUUGUGCCCUGAGCAUUUUCGUGAAGGCAGAGCCUGGCUCAAAGGCUGUCAACACAAACACUGCUGGUUUGCUCUCAGUUGCACUCCCUGUAAAGGUUGAGCAGUUGAAACACACAUGGGUUAACACCAUGCUCAUUAUGUACUUUUUCAUCUCAGUGUUGAUCUUAUUGAAAGGAAAAUAGCCAAGGAAAAGAAACCAUCACUGUGUUCCCAAAGCAGUGGUAUAGGGUUGAUGUGUAUCACAAUACAGCAGUUCAUGGUUUAUGAAAGAUUUCAAUAGCACAGCAAAUAACUAAUAUGCUAACAAUGUUCUAUAUAAUUAAUAUAUAAUACCAAAAAAGGCUUCAUUAAUCAAACAGUCCUAAAGAAAAAUGUCACUGUUUCCACAAAUGUAUUAAUAAAUAUUCAACAAUUUAUUAUUAAUUCUGAAGGAUAAUUUGGCACUGAAGCCUGGAUUAAUGGCUCCAAUAAACUGUAAUAAUAUUUCACAAUGAUUAUUACUGUAUUUUUGAUAGACUAAAUGCAGUCAAACAUAAGAGACGACUUAUAAGAUAUUAAACAAUCUUACUGACCCCAAACUUUUGAACCACAUUUCUCACAAUAUACACUAAUUUUCCUCUUGCUCUCAGAUAUUAGACAAUCCACAUUCUGGCUCUCAACAUGCAAUGUUGCCUUAAUAGAGACCAGAACUGACCUUAGCUAUUUACCAAAAGACUUGGCCUGAAUCUUCAUAGCAAUUUGCCAGGGCAUACUUUUAUUUCUGUGGUCUGUUGAAUGCUGUCACUAUCAAUUACAGUACCCCUGUAUUCAUUACACCAAUAAUGAACCCAUUUAUAUAAUCUUUUUCCUGCAGUGAUUCAUACUCUUACAUGGACAAAGUGAUUGUUAGUGGAAAAAAUUGUGUUAGGAACCCAUAUAUCCCAAGUCCAGGAUUGCCAUAGGGGUCGGUUGAUGGAACGAACAUGGGAAAGAGAUAUUUAACUCAACAGGUAUCACUGUGAGUAUGGCAUACUUUUUUUUACCAGUUUGCACUUAUUUAUAAUGGCAGAACUGUCUCUUACUACUCUUUUGCAUAGAAGACAGUGAUUGCUUUGCAUCUCAAAGACAUCAAACCACUAACCAUCU